rnacentral:rRNA from 1 species
UACGGGGGGAGCAAGCGUUGUUCGGAUUUACUGGGCGUAAAGGGCGCGUAGGCGGCGUAACAAGUCACUUGUGAAAUCUCCGGGCUUAACCCGGAGCGGCCAAGUGAUACUGUUGUGCUAGAGUGCGGAAGGGGCUACUGGAAUUCUCGGUGUAGCGGUGAAAUGCGUAGAUAUCGAGAGGAACACCUGCGGCGAAGGCGGGUAGCCGGGCCGACACUGACGCUGAGGCGCGAAAGCCAGGGGAGCGAACGGG